UGUUUGACACCAAUAGAAAGAGAAUGAGAGAGAAAUGGACAGAGAGAAACAGAGGGGUUUGAAAGGAAAGAAUCGGGAGGCUGGGCCUGAAGAAAGCCAGCUCUUGCCAGCUAUAAUAAGAGUAUUAUGAUAUUGCUACACUGUGUACCAAAAUGACUCAAUUCCUGGCCCCAUUUCAAAGUUUUUCAACCCUUUUUCUUUCUAUCCCAGUAAUUCUGCAAUAAAAACCCUUUUUGCAGUUUUUCUUUUAUUUCAAGGUACCCUGUUAAGAAAUCAAAGAUCACAGCCACUGGUCUUUUUUAAUUUCAAUUUCUUUACUGUCUUGGGAAUAAAGUUUUAUCGUUUGUGUUGUUACCUUGAUAACGAUUGACAUUGAGUCGGGUUUGGUUACGGCAGUGUGUUCCAUUUUGAAUGCUUGAUAUUGUCAAUUGUGUGCUUUGCAAGAAGUUCAUAAUAGGAAGUUGUGAUACAAAGCUCCUAGAACUGCUGGAUUGUAGAGAUUGCUCAACUCUUGGGCGUUGUAUGCUUAUGUAAGGUCCAUUAUUAAGCGACAGCAACUGCAGUUCAUAAAAAUCGAAUCAGUCUGGAUCCUAUAUUUUUGACAGCUGAAGCUUCAUCUGGAUGUUUUUAUGCAGUCAAUAGGCGUGGUCAGGUGUUACUUGCCACUGUAAAUGAACAAACAAUUGUACCUUUUGUUAGUGCUCAGUUAA
rnacentral:lncRNA from 1 species